UACGGAGGAUGCGAGCGUUAUCCGGAAUUAUUGGGUUUAAAGGGUGCGUAGGCGGCCAUUUAAGUCAGCGGUGAAAUUUUGCAGCUUAACUGUAACAGUGCCGUUGAUACUGUUUGGCUAGGAUUUGGUUGUAGUGUGCGGAAUGUGUGGUGUAGCGGUGAAAUGCUUAGAUAUCACACAGAAUAUCGAUUGCGAAGGCAGCUCACAAAGCCAAGAUUGACGCUGAGGCACGAAAGUGUGGGGAUCAAACAGGA
rnacentral:rRNA from 1 species